UAAUUCAAAAUUAUUUUAAAUGUAAAAAAACAUUUAUUUAAAAAAAAGACGACAAGACCCUAUAGAACUUAACUUCAGUUAAACUGGGGCAGUAAAUUAAUUAUUAUUUUAAUUUUUUUUCAACUAAAAAUAUCCAAUACAAUUGAACAAUUCAGUUACCAUAGGGAUAACAGCGCAAUUAUAUUUAUAAGUCCUUAUAUAAAAAAUAGAUUACGACCUCGAUGUUGAAUUAAUAACCUAAUUAAAGCAAAAAUUAAUAUAGGAAGUCUGUUCGACCUUUAAACAAUUACAUGAUUUGAGUUCAGACCGGUGUAAGCCAGGUCGGUUUCUAUCUUUUAAAAGAAUUUUUACAGUACGAAAGGACCUAAAAAUAUAAUAUCAUUUAUUAAUUGGCAGAUUAAUGCAUUAGAAUUAGAAUCUAAUAAAACUAAA
rnacentral:rRNA from 1 species